AUAUGAGUAAAAGUGACUUCAACAACCAGAAUGUUUUUUAGAUAAAUAUUAGUAAUAACAACUCAUAUUGAAACGAGAUAUUGUGUAAAGAGGUUUUCAAAGAAGUCGUUUUAACAACAAUCGAAGAGCUACCGAUUCCCGAGAUAACCGUGAAAAAGCAUUCAAGACAUGAUUAUAAAGAAUCUUUUAAAAGUUUGCUUAAUUUCGACAGUGAAAUUUUAAUUACUAUUUUUUUGAAAUAAACUAAUCAAGUUA